CCUUCAAAAGUGACAACUUCAACUCCUAUUCUACUAUUGUACUGACAAAUUAGUUUUCAUUUUACUUUUAUAUCUGUUUUCUUGCUUUGAAAGUGAUUAUAUGUCUAGCAUAUAUUGUUUACUGUCUAGAUAGGAAAUUAGUUAUUAUAAGGGAAGAGUUACUAUAUAUCAAGGCACCAAAAUUUAGAUGAAAUGAUCUAAACAUUCUAUUUAUGAAUGUCUUAGAGUGCUGAGUAAUGUAUUUGGAGGAAAAGUUCCUUUCUCUAACACAUUAAAUGGGCAUGAGAUUUUUCAUUAGUAACUGGGAUCAGGAUUAAUGCAUAACAACACAUAACAAACAUUGUAACUUUUAUGAUUUAAUCAGAUGCAAGUCAGUCAGUUUGAUCACAAUUUCUUAAAACAUGUGGUUCCAUUCUACCACAGGUGGUCUUGCUUGUAUGGGAAUCUUUCCUGCAUUGGUGUGGGUCAACUCCCCAGUUAGCUAUAUCUGACCCGUAUAUGAUCAAGGUUGAUCACAAUUUCUUAAAACAUGUGGUUCCAUUCUACCACAGGUGGUCUUGCUUGUAUGGGAAUCUUUCCUGCAUUGGUGUGGGUCAACUCCCCAGUUAGCUAUAUCUGACCCGUAUAUGAUCAAGGCAGUGUGGAUUACUAAAUAUGGAGAGUAUGAGAAAGUUCCUUAUAACCCACCAAGAAGUUUUAGAAGAUGUUUUUGGAAAAUAUCAAUAUUUGAAAAUAGUUUUUAAGUGUGUGCACAUGCAUGCAUGUGAGUGUGUGUUUGUGUACGUGUACAUGUGUGCGUGUGCGUGUGUGACUUUAGUAUUUUGAAAGCAUUCAUUUAAUUAUACAUUUAAUCCUAUAAGAAAAUAGAUUACCUGAAACCUCUUGCUUCACUUAAUAUUACAUUUGAUCAUAUAGGAAGAUAAAUAAAUAGACAAAGCAAGUAUCACAGACAAACUUUUUGUAGUUGGCUUCCUGUUUUGGUUAAGUUAUUUAGCUAUUGAUUCUUUUACAGAGAUCACCCGAAACCUCUUACUUUUAUAUUUGAUUCACACUUAAGAUUUGUCCGAUUAUGUUUAUGAUUUUGCUUUAAUUUUUUUUUCAUCAUCAACAUCAAAAUCAAAUGUAUUUGUUCACAACAUAGAACUACAAACAUAGAUCUCAAGAUCAAUGGAUGGAUCUUCACUCAAGGAUGCACACCAACUCGACUGCAUUCAAACACUCUAUAAACAGCACCACGUCCUAACUGGUCGCCAACGCUUGUUCCAGGAAUGGGUGAUUAAGCAUCUUAAUGAUGAAAACUCCUUGAAAACUAAUUAAUCAUAAGAACACUAAUUAAGCAUGUUAUAC
rnacentral:lncRNA from 1 species